GACAGAGGUCCCGAGCGGUAGGCGGAAUCACUGGGCUUAAAGCGUGUGUAGGCGGAUCGUUAAGUGCCUUGGGAAAUCCCAUGGCUUAACCAUGGAACUGCUUGGCAUACUGGCGGUCUUGAGCCACUUAGGGGCAACCGGAACAAAUGGUGGAGCGGUGAAAUGCGUAGAUAUCAUUUGGAACGCCAAUGGUGAAAACAGGUAGCUGGGAGUGUGCUGACGCUGAGACACGAAAGCCAGGGGAGCAAACGGG
rnacentral:rRNA from 1 species